AGAAGGUGUCGGUGACAUUUUUCAACAGAUGUUUUGUCAUUACAGUCGCAGGAAGGAGCGUGUCUCGCGCUCUCUCCAUCUGAGUCUGAAGAUGCUGGAGGAUGAUGAGAGGCAGAUGAAGACAGGUGAAGACAUCGAGUCUCUGCUGAUUGCCCUGCUACCUCACGGUGACGACAGGAUGUAAGACCCCCGGUUGAUAAGAAAGAAGACAGAUUCUUCAUGAAAAAUCACUCCAUGUACCUCGUCAAUCAAGUGACUCAAGUCCUCUCCAACAACAUUCAUAUCUUCUUCCAGCUGUUUGACCUUUGGGUCCAGGUGUCUCACAGCAGCGCUGUAGCUCCCAACCAGGAUCUGGAAAACAGCAGCGACGUUAGCCUCCCAGAUGUUCAGCGUGUGUGAACCAGAGUCAAGACUGAUGCUCUGCAGCUGCUGCGUCAGCCAAGCCAGAUCAUUGUCCUUCUUGUCCAAGUCCAUCAGUAAAGAAUAGGAGCAGCUGUCACAAC